rnacentral:lncRNA from 1 species
CUGAGCUCAGAUCUCCCUGGAUCACCCCCUCUUCUUCUCAGGCAGUCUAGUCUUUCUUUGUAUCAACCCAGACUUUCCUCUUUAACAGGCAACCAGCAGGCACCUCUUUCUACAUGAUUCCAAGGUAGUGCUUGUUGACUUUUUCAAAUCGGGUUCCUCACAAUAAGAAGACACUGAAGCCCACAAGGACAGAGAUAAAUACAAAAAGAAAGAUAGGAGAAGCCCUAUGAUGUUUGAGUUAUUUUACAAUAACCCAAGAACAGUGUUAUACACAAAAAGUCUCGCCCCCAUCUUCAUCUUCUUAGAAUCCUCCCUUAGCCACUCUUGGCUUUUCCUGGAAGAACGGCCUCUGCAGCUGUCGCCUGGCUGGAGGAAAGGCGGGGGACCCCACAGCCCCCCUGCCCAAGAACCGGGGACAUCGCCACAUUCUGCGCCCUUAGGACUAACGUCAGGUUCGGCCUAGAGUAGGUUUUGGCAAAAUGUCUGCCAAUGAAUCGUGUCCCCUCUUCCUGGAGAUAUUAAGCAAUAUUCUUUGCUUUGUCCACACUUUCAGGAGGAGAGAAGGUGUAUUGGCAAAGGAUGGUGCUGAAGCAUGAAGCUGCUGCUGCAGCCUUGAAGCUGGAAGGCUCGCCCUGAAGUUAGACGGAUUGGGGUACCCAACCUCUGCCAAACCCACCUCUGUGUUCCUGUCUGCCUGGGAAAAAGAAAAGACACUCUCGAUCCGUCACCUGAAGUAGCCACAAUUAGGAAAGUGCUAGGACUGCAUUGUCUGAGUUCUUUGCCAGGAUCCCGGGAGUAGGGGUGGGGAGGGACAAAGGUGUGGGCUGAGGGGACCCUUCAGACAACCCCGUUGUCUCCAGGGCGGGGGGAUCUCUUUAAAAAAAACACGUGAGGCUCCCCUGGAAAUGUUCAUGUCCUUCUUCUCAAGGGCACACACGGCAGAAGCGACCCCGGCUCUCAGAUCACAGGCUCUGUG